GGACGCCGGCCACCACCGCCCCGCGCCCCCUGCCCCUCUGCGUUCGGUGAGUUAUUCCUAGCGAGAAGGCUGCGAGUUCUGGCCACAGUUGGACUUUUCCCAAGUUCCGCCCUUGCCCGAUUAAUUAUAGAAAACACAAAGGCAGUUAAGGGGCCAGGAAUGAGCGGCUGGAUUUGUGUGUGUUUAUGUGUGGGCUCCCUGGUUACAAUGGACCAAUAUAAUUUUAUAGGUGCUUUAUGUUUAACCAGCCUUUCCCACUUUCUAUUUUCAUAAGAGGCUGGCUCUUGGUCUCAACCUGGCUAUGUGCUUUGACCUCUCUACAUCCAAGCAGACAUGAACUUGCUGUGGACUUCUCUUUUCCUCCUCCUUCCACCCAGGGCUAGGUCCUUAGACCUUUGCAGAUAUGCAGUUGAUCAUCACUGGUAGUGAGAUGGGUUUGAGUAAAGCCACACAUGAGCAGAAAAGGGAUAGUCUGUUUACCAACACACUAUGGCUCCUGGGCAGAGGGAAGUCACGGUGAUGCAAGACUGUCUUCAUCCUUGCUCUUUCCCUCUUAAUAUCCCUUCACCUCUGACAGUGUAACCCCACCCCUGAUCAUUGCUUCCUCCAUGAAGGCCCACGUCCAGUGGUUCUAUCAGCAUGAGUGUGUCGUGGGAGUAGGCGCGUGCACUUGGACGGAGCUUAGCAAUGUUUCAUCUCACAAGUACCUGCUUGCCUGUAUGGGCAGUAGCAGAUGAGCUGGUGGCCCCAAAACUGGUGACGUCAGGGAGAGAUAGCAGGGUCAUGGGAUGGUGGCCACAUCAGGUCCUGGGACUGUCCUUGGAGACUCUUGGCUGGGGGAGAGCCAUGUCUCCUUUCCUCCUAUUUUGUAUUUUAGAGACUAGUUAAGAUACAAAGUGAGUUUCUGGUCCAGAUGAGAUAAAAUGGUAGUUUCCAAGUAAUGAAGUAGAAUGGCAGGCUAUAGGGCCAUCUUAACUAGGGUGACCAUACAAUAGAUCAUCCAAACUGCAACACUUGUGAAAGUCAAAGGGGGUUCAGUUCAUAAUUAUGCCUAGACAACAGGUGUAAACAAGGGCAUAUGGCCACCCUCACCUUAACCAUGUGGUUCGCAGUCUGCCGUCUUCCCUAAAAGCUGGGAGGAAGUUGCCGCUAAGGCCACCUCUACAUGCAGCCGGCAGGGCUCCAUCCCCACCCACCCUCUCCUCUGCAUGUGAGUUGCACUCACUGCAACAUGAGCCCUCCCUGGCCAGCCUGGGCUGCUUCUCUCCUGCUCCAGGCCCUGAUCAGGUUCCCAUUCCUGGAUCGCCCGCACUCCCCUGGUGACGAAUUCCCGCAUUACCUGAGGGAUUUGCACAUGGGGCAUGUUCCUCGCGGGCCGGAAUGUCCUGGGAGCGUGUGGAGAGUGGCGGGCAGAGAAGCCUGUCUGCCAGAGAGCACCCGGCACAGGGGAGUCAGGGACAGCAUCAGCCUAUGGUCUCGGCUUUGGGUUUUGUUUUUCAAAAAAGGGCCAGGAUGGGGCAAGAGUUCUAGACAGUGGUUGCCAGCUCCAAGUAACCCAGCCAGACCCGGUGGCAGACAGGCACCCAGGGCAUGGGGCACUUGGGGAGGGCAGCUGGCUGCAGGGGCCAUCUCAGAUCGGGUAUUUCUUCCAACCUGCCGUGGUAAGGGUGGCCUCACCCACAAGUGUCCAGCGGACCAUCAAUCCUGGGGAACAGUCAGCCACAAAGGGGGCCCUAUGGCCCCUGCACUCACCUCUCAAUCAACCACAACGUGCACUGGUUUAGGACAGGCUCCAGAUGUCCCAGCAGGAAGGGAACCUGUUUGGCUCCGUUUAACUCAACAAAGUCCUCUGCAUUCCCCAGUUAAGAACUACUUGUGGGAUUAGUGUGCUGAGAGACAGUUUGGCAAACACUACAGCAGGGAAGAAAACACAAAAUUGAAAGCUGGGAAGCAAGGAUUCCAGACCUGAUUCGUUUGUCAUCCGUUGGAGCUUGGCCUCUAUAGUUCCCUGGGAAAGUGCAAGCAACAGCCUUCAUCAGUGUACCCUCGAUUUUGCACUACUGGAGAUGAGCCGGGGUCUCGGGCAGGGGCACGAGGGACCCCGUGUGAGCCUUUCCCUUUCUCAUGCUCCUGAGGCCUUGCCACUAGUAGGAAACUGUCCUGGGUCCCCCUGAGUCCUCACAAACCCACUCACCCCAUAUAGUGGCUCCAUAGUAGGUCUGUCAUGAGUGAUGCAGGCUUUGGGACCAGCCCAAGAGACCUAGUUCUGCAGGUGCCACCUUGUCUCUGGAGCAGAGAACUGGCACUCCACAUCCUGCUCCCCACCCCCCAUCAGCCAGGCUGAACCUCCCAGUACACCCUGCAUGGACGAACUCUCCCCCAGAAUUCACUUCUCUGUCCCACUCUGAGCAUGCACCUCCCCCUGAAGCAUCUCACACUCCUACUUCAGGUGGUGCUAGGGCCCCACUUUCCAGGAAACACUGGCCCUUCUCCUGUCCCAGCACCUCUCAUCCUGCAGCCACAAUGUUCAGUCACCCUCCUAGUAUUCACUGAGUAUUUCUAGUGUGCCAGGCACCAGCCUGGGGACUGAGGAUACAGCAGUCAGUCACUGGGCACAGCUUUGUCCUUAAAAGGUUUGCAGUGAAGGAGUUGAACUUAAACCAAUGGCCACAUGAAUCCACAGUGACAAACUGGGGUGCGUGCCGUUACUGCCCCCCAUCUUGGGCUCUGGGAGGUGGGAACCCCUCUACUUUCUGCACCUCUGUAUCCCAGGGGCUGCAUAGUGCCUGGUGCUGGAGGGCCCUCGGUCGUCAAGGAGAAAUGGAUGUCUGAAAAGGAAGGCGCUGGAAGCCUCCCUUCUCCCGGGCUAGGGGCCUGCAGGGACAGCUGAAGUCCAGGGCAAGAAGGGAACCCCCCACCCAAGGCAGUCAUGGCUCACAUUCUGAGGUUUCAGAGCAGCUCCUCCUCUCCUCCCCCACAGUGGAGGAAGCCAGCCAUUUGCCUGGGUGGAGUAUCUGCGGGUCAGGUCUUUAGAAAUCUAAAUGUCCACAUAGGCCACCACUCACCCCUGUUUACCACCUGCAGUCCCAGCUUUCAUGUGAGCCGAGGAGGGAGCCCCUUGAGAGUAUAACCAGAGGCUUGAUCUGCGUUCUCAGACCUCCUGGGUGGCUAGACAAGGCCCUUUCAGCUGCCAUGGGAAGGCGGGUGGACUGUGCUGGUGCGGGGCUGCCCUGAUCCCACAAUGGCCCCCUGACUCCAAGGCCCAGAGGACACCUGAACCACAUCUGGCUGAGCCUCCUCAGGCCCUGUGCCUUCUCUCUGCAGCCAAGGAGACAGAGGUGGAGUGGGCUUUUCUGGACAGCAUAAUUCAUGGCCCCUCACCACCCAAACCCGAGAGGUGCAAGAAAAGAAAGCGAUGGGCUGGGCUCAGCAAAACCUGCUUUCCCUCUUAACACCUCCAGGGAUGUCUUUUUUCACCUGACUUCAUUUUCUGGCAAACUAUGUUUGCAUCCCUUCCUGGCAGGCAGUUCUAGACCCGGCCUGCACAGCCCUGCCCCCUGCUUCCUCCCUGAGGUUUGCACUCAGCUCCAUCCACUCAAGGCCCAUCUGGCUCUCGGUCCCCAACCAGCACCUGGUUGGGUUUGGCAGCCUCCGAGAUGCCCCCAUAGGAUCAGGUUCAGCUACCACUUCCACACACAAGUUCUGGGCCCCGGCUUAGCAAUGCAGGCUACAAAGGGGCCAGGGUGUGAAGUGCCUCCUUAGCACAGCUCCCAGCAGUGGUCUUUACACUUGGUUCUCCCUGGCUGACUUCUCUUGCUGCCAGGGCUUCAGUGAUGGGAGCCGGCAGCAUGGAGGGAGAGGGGCAACCGCAGAUGUGGUAAACAUUCUGCAGCAGAGGUCUGAGGGCUCUUGCCAAGCUGGGGUGCAGCCCCCAUGGAGUGGGAAGUGCAGGGUGGGAGAAGGGAGAAGGUUUAAGGUCCUUUAACCCUUCCCAGCCAGACUCAACACUGCUAUCUCAAGGAACCCAGAAGCACCAUUCUCAUGAGCCAUGACAGUGCUGGAGACCUUGGGGUCUCAGAGGACCCCGUCACCAAUCCCACAGCUCCAAAAUGGUCUUCAGUUUUUACAUCCAAGCCAAUUCCUUUUUACCUGAAAUGUGGCCCUUUUAUUAGUAGUGUCCUUGUAAGUAAAAUUCUAUUUAUUAAACAGACAUUUCUUUUUUUUUUUACUUUUUAUUUUAUUUUAUUUUUUAAUCAUUUUUUCUUUUUUUUAUAUACUUUAAGUUUUAGGGUACAUGUGCACAACAUGCAGGUUAGUUACAUAUGUAUACAUGUGCCAUGUUGGUGUGCUGCACCCAUUAACUCGUCAUUUAACAUUAGGUAUAUCUCCUAAUGCUAUCCCUCCCCCCUCCCCCCACCCCACAACAAAACAGACAUUUCUUAAUGUGCCAAGCAUGUUGUCUUUAUUAGGUCAGGGGUUCUCAAACCGGAAUGUGCAUAUGAAUCACGUGGGAUUUUGUUUAAAUGCAGAUUCUGAUGCAAGAGGCCUGGGAUGGGCUUGAGAUUCUGCGUUUCAAACAUGCUCCUGGUAGAUGCUAGUGCUCUAGUCCAGGGACCACAGUGGGAAGUCACAAGGCAUUGAAUGACUGAUGGUUUGUAGGUGGUGGCUCUGUUUCAUAGAUGGGCAAACUAAGGCACAGUCUGUCAUCAGUGUGAUGGUCAGAGUGGAGGUCUGGCCUGGGAAUAUUGCAUUUCAGAUACUGGCUCUUCUUUAGGUCAGUGGUUCUCAGCCUCGCUAUGCAUGAGAAUCAUGAGAACACAGCAGGCAGGGGGCCUACCCCUAAUCAGUUGAAUUAGAUUCUCCAAGGACGCAACCUGGGCAUUCGUUAGCCAGGGUGGAACACCACUGUUGAGGAGACACCCCAGAGACACCGAACUGGUUCAUCGCGGCCACUUAUGAAUCAGCUGGCUCUGCCUGUCAUGCCGCGAACCAGUCAAGAAAUACCUGCCAGGUGUUGGGCUCUCUGCUGAGCCAUGGGGGAAAACUCCGAGUCUGAGCUGGCAGGAGAACCCCAUUACACAGGAGGCCUCAGCUGCUGAGAACAUGCCUUCCACUCCCCCAGCCUCAGGCUCUUCUUGUCAUCACCCUGAACCUCCUCCUUGAUGAGAUGAAAGCCACCUCUUCUCUCCCGCUGCCUCCAUUUCUCUCUGUCCUCAGCUCCUUUUCCCAUUUUCCUUUUCCUUGGCCUGGGAUGUGUGUCGGAACAGCUAUCACAUGUUUUAGGAAAAGGGCCUCAUUCUCACCCACGGUGCCAGGCUGUACCAGAGGCUGGGCCACACUUCGCAGUUCAGCCUGUCUCCCCAUACACCUUCCCACCAAGGUUCCCAACUUCUCUGGCUUUGCAGGGUCCUGACUGCAGACUAGACUGACUAACUAGAUGAUGUGCAUUGAUUGUUUCCGACUUCCAGGAGAAUGUGGGGUGCCCAGGGUGCCUGGGUUAGAGAAGGAACCAAAAGUUUCCUUGGAUCCUCAUCAGGGAAUUGUGGUGUGAUACAGGGCGGUGAAGGGGCUCCAGUUUCACAGAGAAGUGAAGAACGAGUGUGCCUCUUUUUAUGGGACCUUUGGAAUGACAGGAAUGGAAGCCUGAGCCCUCUCCACCCAGCACUGCCCUGUCACUGCCCCGGGACGUCCACGUGGGCUCUGGGAAUGCUCCUUUGCUGAGACAGGCUUGGGUAGUACAAGUUCAAGCCCUCCUCUGUUGAAAUGUGUGUGCUCUGUUUAGCCAAGAGGUGUCUGCAUCCGAGCUAUGCAGAGCAAAGUAUUAUUAGAGCCGGCAUCAGUGUGUCUGUAACUGAACCCAGCUCUCCCUAGCAACCGUUGCCAACAACACAUCUAACAGAAGGAUGCGAUACCUUUUUUUGAAAAAAAAAAGUUUGUCUCAACCAAGUCAUAAACACAGCAGGCCUGUUGUGAAAAGACAACACAAAAUCAGAAUCUGGUGUGUGACCAGAUUUCAAAAUAAAUUGCUCUUCUCUAGCACCUUCUAGAAGACAGCCUGUUAAAAAGCUGACCUUGAGCUAAAGAGCGGAGAAACUCUUCAGAGUUUCUGGCUGGGUCAUCAUCAAGCAUUGUGUUUUGGGCUUUUCAUACAUAGACGCUCAGUUGAGUGGUGACUCUGUGGGAUCUCUGGGAAUGACUUUAGCACAGAAGGGGCACUCAAGAUUUUCUGGCUUGGCUUUCCUUAUCAGUGAAUCUCUCAAGUGUGAGACAAGCCUGAAGAUGUAUCUUACCCAUACCUCAUCCUGGAUGUGUGUGUUGCCCCCACUUCUACCCGUUUCUCCCAUCCUCCUGCCCUUCUCCUUGUCCCAUGUUUUCAGGCUUGGGAAGAAAACUGGGCCAUUCCUCUAACUCUCUUCCUAAGGGGAAAACCUCGUUCUCUUGUGAUUCUCUCAAGGUCUCUGGAAAAUCAAGUCAUUCCCCUUUGUCAGAAGUUUGAAGUUCCUAACUCUUAUCUUUUACAUAGGAAGGGAGGAGGGAGACUGAUAUCGAUUCCUGGAGUCUAAGUUUUAAACUCCUAGAUGGCCAGAAUCCUGGCUGAGUUAUCGGCUGUCCCCAGCUCCUGGCUUCAUGGUUCAUAGUAGAUGCUCAGGAAAUGGCUGUGGAAGGGAGGCAUGGAGCCAUCAGUCAUGGGUACCAAUGCUCUCUGGGGCAUGAGGGGCUUUGAAACUCUUCUGAGCACUUUCCUGUGUGUGAAUCGGAGGUAGGUUCCAGGGCAGGGAUCCCUCCCCAGGCUUAUACAUGGGGAAAGUGGCUCAGUGAGGCUGCAAGAUUGACCCAGCAUCACGAGGCUAGCUGGAGCUUCUGGAUGCCAUGCCACAUCCUAAAUAGGGUGUAAGGCUCAAAAACUUGGGAAAAUCAAGAAUCCAUAUCAUGGUUGGGAGCAAUGGCUCAUGCCUGUAAUCCCAGCACUUUGCAAGGCCAAGGCAGGAGGAUUGCUUGAGGCCAGGAGUUUGAGACCAGCCUGGGCAACAUAAAAAGACCCCAUCUUUGAAAAAAAAAAUAGGCAGGUGUGGCAGCAUUGCUACUGAAGCCCCAGCUACUCCAGAGGCUGAGGCAGGAGGAUCCAUUCAGGCCAGGAGUCAAGGCUGCAGAGAGCUAGGUCCCUGCUGUUGCGCUCCAGUGUGAGCGACAGAGUGAGACUCUAAAAAACAAAAAAGAAUCCAUCUCAGGAAGUCAUCAAUUGGGAUUUCAAAAUCCACCCUGUGGAAUAAUCCCACUGUGUUUCCAGGGGUCGCUGAGUCUCUGAGCUUUCUGGGCCUCUGGAGGUCAAGGGUACCUGAAGAAACCCCUGCACUCUCCAUUCGCCCUAGUCCCUGUGAAACCACACAGGCUGCUGGCCCCAGUUCCCAUCUCCUCCUUGCAUCCUCUCCCUCUUCUCAGACCCCCUCCCUCAUUUCUGCACACCCACCGCUGAGCCGAUGUGCACUCCAGGCAUGUAAACUAAUUUUAAUGUUGGCCCAAGCCAGGCACACCCAGGGAUAGAAGCACAUUGUUCUGUGCAUUCCAAAGCUUGAGCAAAAGCCCUGGCCAUACCCACAUCGAGCUCCCCUCCACUAGUUGCUAGAAAUCAGAAAGGCUGAAGCAAAGGGCCAGAGGCAGUGCAAGCCGCUUUCCCCGUGGGCAGGCUGCACGGAAGCUUGCAAAAGCCCAGAAAAGGGCUGUUUUUCUAAAAAUGGCUGGCAUCUGAGCUCCCGCCCUGCCCCCUGUGGGCCAUCUGUCCCCAUGCUGAAGCCCGUGCCCUGCAAGGGACAUGCAGAGUUGGCACACACAUUUCCCUGAAGGUGGGCACCAACAGGCCUCGUCAGGCUGGCCUGGCAUCACAGGAGGCCAGCAGUCACAGGAGCUUGACCCCUGCCCAGGAUUCUGUGGCAGCCCUGGGCUCCCCCAACAGGAAGAGCCAAUGCCUGACUCCUAUCCAUGUUCUUUGCCCCUGCGGCCAGAGCCACAGUGGAUAGGAGCCGUGUGCCUCGUUGCCAAUCUUGUUGUCUGCACUUGCUUUGGGAUGAGUAAAUAUGACCUGCUUUUCUCCAAUCUUUAUUUCUUCUCAACGCUUAUUGAGCACCUGCUAUAUACCAUGCACUGUGGCAGGUCCUGUAUGUCUCUGUUCAUUUGCCCUCCACUGUGGUCUUUCAAUCUGUUUGUGCAAAUCUUAAGCAUUGCAUUCAAGGACCCAGGUGGGAUACCUCAAUGUCAGUGCUUAGACCAGAUCGCCCUGACUGUUCAGUUUGGGUGGGGCGGGGGAACAUGUGGCUUCCAGGAGUGCUAAGCCUGUGGUUCUCUCUGGAGCUUUGAAGUGCUCAGUGAGACAGAGCAGCCGAUGACCGGAUCAUAAACAAGCAUUUUGAUUUUUGAAUCUGAAAAUAAGCGAGGAAAGAAAAUGACCACUGAUCCUCAGCCAGUCCUGGAAAGUGCCCAGAACAGCAGCAUGCCAGGUGUCCAGUCAUCAUAUCAUCAGGGGGGCCUGGGUGCUGCUGCUGUGCCAACUACUGCCCCAGGCCCCCAGGGACCAGUGAGCUUCCUGCAAAACCAAGUGCCCAGCUUCCUGCCUCUUUGCCACUGCGCCACUGUGCCACUGCGCCACUGCGCCACUACUGUGUUCUUCAAAAUCACAGAGAGCCCCGCUCCUGAGAAAGCCCAAAGUGCCUUUCUGUGCACGGCAUGGGCUUUUACAAGUCUCAUGGGCAGUCUACUGCAGGCCUUGUCAGAGACUCUAGAUGUGCAGAGGCUGAGGGAGCCUUGGACAAAAGUCACUCCUUUCCCGUGAAAAGUGGCCAUUGCCCUGUGUUGUUAGGAGCGUGGGUGGCUCAGGAGGGGAGAGCAAGACCAGCCUGCAGCUUCAUGAAUCAGGUCAGCUGGGCCAUCUGGAGCAGACAGGUGUGGGUCGUGCCCCCGAAUCUCAUUUCUCUAGACAGGAUUUCUUGCCCUGAGGCAGCAACGCUGAGGCCUGAGGAGUAGCAAACCUGUGCAGUAGCAUCGAUUGCUGCCUCGAUGCUGAUCUUGAGCAUUUAAAACAUGUCUCUGCACCCACGUUUCCGUCCUGCAAGGGAUGAUUGGGUUGUGGUAGAGCUUAAAUGAGGUAAUGCAUGCACGGACCCCAGCUCUGAGCCACACCACUCGGAUGGCUCCAUCAGUGUGGGUGCCCUGCCCUGGUGGGAUGAACUGGGAGGCCCUUCUAACUUUAUCCCAUCCUAGAUUCCCAAAGACCACCCCAUGCCUCAGUCUUGGGCAGCAUUUCCAUUUCCCCCCCCUACGCUGAUUAAAUGUGGAACAAUGAGGGCAGGCAAUGAGUGCUUUUAGACUAUUGUCUUCCUGGGCGGUGGGCCCAGGAUUGACAGGUGUACUCUUCCUCCUAGUCAAAUCUGCCUCCUCCAGGAAACCUUCCCUGAUCUCCCAGCCCAGGGACCUCACCUUCCUCUGACUCUUGAACAUUUACCAUGUGUCCCUUUCAUGAAGUCUUCUGGGCUCCCCUGUUUAAGCUUUUCUUAUCUGAGACUUGUAUCUGUGGAUGUCUUGGGGCAAAGAAUGCGUCUGGGUCAUCUUUGUGUCCCACCACCAUACUGGUACCCACAAGGUAUUCAUCAGGCAUCAGCUGGCUGGCUCCAGGAGCUUCCUUCACUGGGGAGGAAGGAGCAUGGAUAGGCAGGCAUGGGAAUAGCACAGGCCACAGCCACAAAAGGGAAUGGCCUGGGGUUUUCUCCCUCUCGCUUCUGGGCCAGGAGAGCUUUACCCAGGUCAGGAAUUAUUUCACCAUCACCCGUGUCCCUUGCCAGACCGUGUCCCCUUCCCUGCAUGCCCUCACCCCCCACCCAGGGUUCAUUUUCCCUGCUAAAUCCCCUGAUAGAACUUGGCCGGGCACUGCCCUGUCUGAGGCUGCCACGCCGAAGCAGGCCCUGCAGAUAAGUGGGUUACCGGAGAAGGCCAGCUCGGGUGUCCCAGGCCCCAGAGGGUCACCCCUGGCUGGCUGGCAGCUCACCCCCAGCACCUCCUCCUCCUCCUUCCCCGGAGCCAGGCAGGCAGGAGACAGCAGAUCCUUCCCCCCAGCUCUGUGAGCGGCCGGCCCCCAGCCGCCGCGGGGAAUCUGAGCUAUGCUAAGCGGCUCCAGAUCGCAGCAUCUCUGCCCUGCCCGGGCACGGCCGGCCCAGACAGGGCGCCUCUACCUGCCGUGGCUGCCGCUGGAAAGCUGGCACCGCCUGGGCUGAUGGAAAAAAUCUCCCUGCGGGUUAUGUAACUGCUCACCGCCCUGUCCCUGGCUCCCCAGGGAGGCUCCCAGCCACUACCAAGAGAGAGCAGUGGCCCCUGGGCAGGAAGGAGACCACAGAGGGUCACUCUUUCAAAAGGAAGAAAAUAGUGUUGCGUUAUCUGAGGUCCUCCUCUGGAACCAGCCUGUGCAUGGCGCCAAGGUGUUUCCUGAAAAUGCUUAAGGAGCUCAGAGGCCUGCCCCAGUAUUAUAGCAAGAAGAGAGCUAAACCUAGCGGGAGGGAGUGGCCACAGAGGAGGAAGAGGGCAGGACAGCUUUGUUACUGUUUUUCUUUUCUUUUCUUUUUGGCAAAUUAUUAUUGCAGUAAAAUAUACCAUAAAAUUCACCAUCUGAACUAGUUUUAAGUGCACAGUUCAGCAGUACCCCGCAUACCUACAAUGUUGGACAAUGCCCAUGACCAUCCCCCGGCACCCCACCAAACCCUCUCAUCACCCCAAACAAAAGCCAUGUACCCACCAUAACUCCCCUACAGCAAUAACUCCCCUACAGCAAUAACUCCCCUACAGCAAUGCCUCCCCUCCAUCUUCCAUCUCCAUGAAUUCACCCACUCUACAAAUAGCACACAUGGGAUAUCAUACAAUAUUUUUCUUUUUGUGCCUGGCUUAUUUCACUUCACAUCAUGGUUUCCAGGUUUAUUCAUGUGUCAGAAUUCCCUUCUUUUUCAUGGCUGACUAAUAUUCCAUUUUAUGUCUAUACCACAUUUUGUUUAUCCAUUUAUCUGUCAAUGGGCACUUGAUUUUCUUCCACCUUUUGACUAUUGUGAUUCAUGCUGAUAGGAGCAUGCAUGCACAAAUAUCUGUUUGAGUCCCUGCUUUUGAUUCUUUGGGGUAUAUACCUAGAAGUGGAAUUGCUGGAUCAUAUGGAAAUUUUAUCUUUAGCUUUUUGAGUAUCUGCCAAACUGUUUCCAGGAAGGGUGUUUUUGAUGGGGGAAAUAUCAUGAACCAAGAGCCAAAGAAAUGACACAACUGAGGGACAAUAAGGACACUGCCUUACUGAAAUUCAGCUGAGAGCUGGAGGAAGUCUAUAAGGGGGACCGACUAAGAGGCAGAAGGAUCUGGACUUUAUAAAGUGGGACUCAGGGAGCCAUUGUGGGUUCUUGAGAUGUAGAGUUCCAGGAUCAAUUAAAAAUCAUAGACCAGUGUAGACUUGCAGGAAGGAUCUAUAGAUCAUCCAGUCCAACCCCCUCGUAUUACAGUUGAGAGACUUGAGGCCUGGAGAGGUUGAAAGAGGCCAUGAAGACAUGUUGAUAGGUCAUAGGAUGUUGGACUUAAAGAUGUUUUACAUCAGAGAACCAGGGGUUCUAGGUAGCCACGUGGUCUCUUGUGGAGAGGGAGCAUAUCCAGGCUUAAGCCUGCCCCUCAAAGACCUGAGCUGUGAUGGCAGGCCUCAUUUCCCUGCCCUACUCUCAGGAUCCUGCUCUCUGGCCCCUGGCACAUGGAACUGUGGCAUUUCCACCACCACCCCCACCAGCCAGAGCCAGGAGCUGGGGUUGCCUGCCAUGGGGAACUGUGCUCCCCUAGCGCUGGUCCCCUUCCUUCAGUAAGUGCCAUGGUGGGCUCCAAGAGCUUCUGGGACAAGUCAGUGGGCAUCUUCGAACCAGAGCCCCUGGGUGAGCAGGCUUCCCCAGGGGUACAUAGCCUGCAUUCCAGAGAGGGCCCCUAACAUUGGCCUGUGGGCCGCUGAUAGGAAGAAUGGAUAGAGACUCCGCACAGGGUGCCCCACCCCCGGCCCUGGUGCCCCUCACCAUGCUGCUGUGGGCUUAUCUCCUUGUUGCCCUUCGCCCAUACCAACCUGCCUGAGCUGCGUUUCUGAUGCCUAUAAUGAACCAGAAGGGAGUUGAGGGGACAGAGGGGGAGAGGAACAGGAAGAGGAGAUGACAGGACAACUCUUUCAACAGCCAGCAGGAAUGCCACACUUGGCCUUCAACCCUCCGCUCUAAGAGUAUUUAUACCCACAGUGUUCAGGGUGGCCAGGUUCCACCUUGUCUAGAUAAAGAGCAGGCCCCCUUACGGAGACAGAGGUCUCCCCAGCUCCCCUCCAGACAGCCACCAAGAGGUCAGGAACACACAGAGUGCACGGCGCAGUGCAUGGAAGGGAGGCGCUGUUGCAGGGGCAGCCAUCAGUGCCUGGGUUACUCUGAGGCCAAUCGGCAUCAUGUGAGCAAUUUAAACCCAUGGUGUGCCCAAAGGCCAGCUUUUCCUACUUCUAGGUCUUCCCUCUCUGGGCCCCUCUGUCCAGGAGAGGCGGAUACACUCGACCAGAAGCAGAACCAUGGGCACAGGGAGUCUGCGUCAUGCUGGCUCAGCAUGGCUCUGCCCUUGAAACCCAGAGCCUAGAAUAAGGGGUCCCUGUACACCGCCAGAGUGCCUCACUGCCUCCCACCUAGAGCUCAGGUUUAAAGGCCUUCACUCGGUAUCAGGGUGCAGAGCUCUGAGUCUUCAGGGAAAAACAGCGGCCUCUUUGGGGGGGACAGGGAGGAACCUGCAGGGAACGACCCUCCCUUAACCCUCUGCUGGCCCUUCCAGGACAGAUCCCAGGUCCCAGAGUGAGAGAAGCUUCAGGCCACUUUGAAGUAUGAGGACAGGCAUGCUCAAAAUCGUCCCCCCUCCAGCACCCCCUUGACAGUGCCGAGCCUGAGACCAAGUGUAUUCCAGAGAAGUCUGUAUGCACCCAGGUCAUUCACACCUAGACCCAUUAAGCAGAGAGGGCUUGGGAGCCAGCACGUCACCAUGUCAUGCCCCUGCCUCCCAGUUUUCCGUAGAGCAAAGGCCAUACGAAAGAAGGGGGUAGCUUAGGAGGUAUUUGGGGAAAGCCAGACUCCAGCUAAAGCUGGUGAAUAGCUAUAAUCGGAAUAAGUGCAUUCUUGAGCAGCUGCGUAUUGGAGCGCCACAUAUUGGACCCAUACUUAGCAUGGACCCCAUUAGGCAACCGUCAUUGCAUUAUUCUGAGUAUUAAAAAAAAAAAUGUGGCAAGGGGAGUAAUAUCUCUAAAGUGGGGUUCGAAGCACAGUCACCUGGAAUCAGCCUUCCCUGCCAUAGACCCUUCCUUUAAUGCCUUACCACCUGUGGCAUAAGAAAUAACUCAAGCGGCCAAGAGCCAGCCACCUCCCCCUGGCUCUAGUUGUGGCGCCAUGCAACUGGUUGACUCUGGGUGGAUCUCAAGCGUGGCAGCCCUACACUUACUCUUCUGUUAAAUGGGGUCAUAAUACCCAUCUCCUCCUCCUGCCUACUGCACUGACAUUAUCAUUGUUAAAAUCCACUGAAAUGCCUGACUUUUACCUGUGUUCCCUUAAGACUCCUCCUCCAGGAGAAACUUGUGAAUUUCAUAGCAGCAUGUUUUUCCUUUUCCUUUUGAUGAUUCCAUUCAUUCAAGGUUCUUAGGGGAGGUCCCAGGCAGGGAAAGCGCCAUGAGAUGCCCACGCAGAGAUUCUUCCACAAGUCCAGGGGCCCCCGGCACAGUAGGACUUGAGGUUUGGGUGCAGCACUGUAGACAGCCCAGGAUCCAGCCACAAGGAAAGCUCUCCAAGGGGCCCUGGGACUGGCCUGGAGGCCCCACAGGGUUCCCUGAGCUCAGUACUGUGAAACCCCAGUGAAACAGGCACUGGCCUCUGCCUGACACAUAAAGGGGGGCAGGGCCAGCUCAGCCAGAGGGCAGUUUAGGAACAUCAGAGGAAGGGGCAAGCCCUGUAAGUGGAGUAGGUUGAGGAAGGCUUCCUGGAGGAGGAAGCAUGAAGGAAGAGGCAGGAUCUGGGUGGAAGGAAGACAACAAGAGGAUCUGGAACCAGAAGCUGAGGAUUUAAAGGCUCGGCGUGGGAGGAGGUGCUCUGGGCUGCAGGAGAUCCGGUGGGGAGCCCCAGCCCUGCCUUUCCCUGGCUGGGCGACCUCAGGCCAGGCCUUCUACCCUGAUGGUGGCUUCCUCACCCAUAAAACAUGGAGAGGUUAGAAGUCAUUUCAGACAUUCCUUCCAGCUUUGUUAUCCCAAAGCAGAUGCGCUAGGCAAACAGAGGGUGCCUGCUAAAAUGCCUGUUGCUGACUGAUUGGUUAGCGGGUUGACCAGUGCAGAGCAGGACCCAUCCCCAACUCUCCCCACCCGGCGGGUCUGGCCGGCUCCUUCCCACCCGCCUGGCCCCAUUUACAGAGUCUGGGGCCUGCUUGGCUUGUGUGUGCUGGCGGCAGCACCUGCUGGGUGGGCAGGGCGGCCUGCAGGGGGCACCAGUGUGCAAGGCCAGCCCUUCCUGCCUGCGGCCACCUCCCAGCAUCUUGGCAUCCUGGGGGCUGUCCCACAGGGAAGAUUUAAACUAUAUGAUGGUGACCGCCACCAAGCCACCCUCCUAUGUGCAAUUUUCAGACCCCUUGGGGUCCCAGCCCUGAGUCCAGAAACCUCAGGCUGAGAGUUGGACUAGAACCCACAGCAAGGGUCCCCUCCAGACCUCCAAAACGGGCCAGUGUAGUACUCAUUCCCAUUUUAUACCCAAGACAACCAGGGCUCUUGGAGGCCACAGGAGGGCCACCGAGGUCUCAGGUAGCUUAGAAGGAGGACAGAGCAUGGGUCCUGGAUUCCCUGGGAACAGUGCCUGCCCAGAGACCCAGCUGCCCUUAGGAACGAAUGAGUAUCAACCAGCUGAGGCUGCAUUUUCUUAAAAUGCAUUGGUUUGUCUAGUGUUGUUUAUGUUCUUUCUCAAACAGCAGGAAGAGGUUGUGGGAAGAGCCCUGGCUGUCAACAGGCUUCUCCCAUGCAGUAGGGGUGGACAGAGGGACUGCAGCCAGGGUCAAGGGCAGGCCAUGGGGCGGUGGGACAGAGAGCAGGCCGCAGCCUCAUCUGGCCUCAGUAGCCUUGUACAGAGGCAAAGGGGCUUCCGUGUGGGGUGUCAGCUCCUUCCACACCUGCCUGGACCCGGAAACAGGCAUGCCUUGAGUCACCAGCAGUGGGCAGCCGUAGAGUCACUGUUUCAACACCGCCAAUUUGUUGGUCCCACGCCUGGGGCCCCUGUGGUCAUUGCAGUAUGUUUUAUGGAACAUUCUGUGAGGAUUCCUCUUGGGGUUUUUUAGCAGCCACCCGUUAGGAUGUUCCUAAAGUAGAAGGCAAACAGCCCACAGGGCCUCAGAAUUCUAGAAAAAAUGUCUGUGCACAGCAUGGGAGCCUGAGCCAGGAGGGCAUUCUCAGCCAUCUUCUAAGGAGCCAGGUAGAAAAAUGGGGUCGAUUCUAUUGUAGUUACUUCCUUAUUUUAGCUAUUCAUUCAGAAAUGUUAGCUGUUCAAAGGGUAUGUCAUUUAUCAAUCAGGAGGCGGGAGCCCCAGGUCUGCAGGAGUGCAGGGGAGGAUGUGAGCAGGUCAGUCACAAGCUAACUUAGAACAAGCAUUCAAUCCCCCAGAAAAUGCACCGGGGAAAGCCACAGGCAUUCCCUUUUGGUAGAAAAGGUCCCUGGUCUAUCUUCAUCGAUGGGACUCUCAUCCGGGGUUUGUACCAGGGGAACCUGGCCAGGGGAUGGCCGUUCAGCCUCUGGGCAUGUUGGCAGAAGGGGUAGUUCAUGGUGUGCCCUGGGCACCCCAUUUCUGAUUUCUACCCCUGAGCCAGGAAGGCCUCUCCCAUCAACCACCGUGGGACUGUGAAGCAGGUAACAGGCAGAGGUGGUGGGGGUGUCCAGGGGCCUGAGGUGGCGGUGAGGAUGGGCAUGGAGUACUACACUUCAUUGAAAUGCCAGCAGCCAGGAGGUGAGCACCUUGGGUUGGGAGUGCUCCCUGAACCCCAGAACUGGAGGCGUUCUGGGGGCAUUCUCACUAGCACCGCAUCGGGACACAUCAGUCCAGCAGGUCGCGCUGGUCCCUGGGGAGCCCAGAAUGACAGUUUGUUUCUUUUUGUUCUGGCUGACAAUGAUGCCACAAAGCUGUUUCAGCCCUGACUGAGAGUACAGGAUCUGGACAGCCCCGAUUUGAAUCCUAAGUUUAAUACUUCGUAGCUGUGUGGCCUGGGCAAGUGGUUUUCCCUCUCGGGGCCCCAGUUUUCCAUUUAUAAACUGGGGUAAUAGAUAAUACCUGCCUCCUUUGGGUGGAUGAGGCUUGAAUGGUGGGGACGAUGGUGUUAGUAUAAACACAACAUUGACUGGUGUCGCUCAUGUCUGGGGGUUCCUGUCAGGGGUCCAACAGGAACACCAGUUACUCCUCCUUUGCCAUUGGGCCAGCUCUCUGCAGUCACUGGCUGGAUACCAGCUGUAUGCAUACACUGUGGGCCAUAAGUAUCCCUUAGACCUUUGUGGGUGGGGGUUAACAGCCCCAUUUUAUACAUGGGGAAAGAAAGUUCCAGAGAGCUUAGGAGGUAUACGUCAAGUCACGCAGCUGGUCAGUGACAGACAGAACUGGAGCCAAGUCCCUGGUACCCCACACUCUGUCUCCUCAGAACACACUGCCACCUGCAUGCCCUGAUUGGUCAGGAGUGCAUCUGGAGGGGGUCAGUUAUAAGGCUGAGGAGAGGUGACAGGGAAACGAGAUAAGAAACAUGCCAUUUAGGUGGCCAUGCUUUCAGAGCCUCCUCCCCACAGGCCAGGCCUUGGGCUCUCCCCACUGCCAUCUUAUGACCAAAAGAAUUGAGAGACAGCUUCCCGGCCAGCGCUUAGCAGCGGGCUUGGGUCUGCUGCCUCCUUUCCUGUCUUGCCGGGGGUGGGGGAGAGUCUCCACCAAGCUGCAGACAGACAGAAGAAUGGUUCCUUGUCCUCCCAAGGGGGACAAGACUUCUCCAUGUCCUUCCUUCCCACUGGGCUGGUUUCCAACCCACCACCUUCAUGAUUCGUGAAUGCAAAGAGAAGACCACUUAGAUCGGUAUGUUUUGCUUCCACUUGGCAGCCCUAGGUGCUGGAGGCUGCAGCUCUGGGUGAAGGUGGGCCCUGGUCUGUGGGGUAUGGGCAUCUGUGAGCACCAUCUGCAUGCAGCCCCGGAGGUCAGGUGGCAGAGUCUCCCAUGACAGGUUCCAGCAGCAGAAGUCCUAAGGAAGCAGCUUGUGUCUCAGAUGAGGCUGUGUACCUCCGUUGCCUGUCUAGGCUGGAGGAAGGGUGAUGGCACCUUUAACUGGUCCCUUCCUUACAGAUCACUAAGUGUAAGAGGCCAAGCCUGCAAA